rnacentral:rRNA from 1 species
UACGGAGGGUGCGAGUGUUGUCCGGAAUCACUGGGCGUAAAGGGCGCGUAGGCGGCGCGGAUAGUCGGCGGUGAAAGCCCGGAGCUCAACUCCGGGUCGGCCGUCGAUACUUCCGGGCUUGGAGCACUGUAGAGGCAGAUGGAAUUCCGGGGUGUAGCGGUGGAAUGCGUAGAGAUCCGGAAGAACACCGGUGGCGAAGGCGGUCUGCUGGGCG